rnacentral:rRNA from 1 species
UACGGGGGGGAGCAAGCGUUGUUCGGAUUUACUGGGCGUAAAGCGCGCGCAGGCGGUCUUCCAAGUCAGUGGUGAAAGCCCGGAGCUCAACUCCGGAACUGCCAUUGAAACUGUUAGACUUGAGAAUGAGAGAGGUGAGUGGAAUUCCCAGUGUAGAGGUGAAAAUUCGUAGAUAUUGGGGAAGAACACCGGUGGCGAUGGCGGCUCACUGGCUCAUUACUGACGCUCAGGCGCGAUAGCGUGGGGAUCAAACAGG